rnacentral:rRNA from 1 species
AAUAGAUACCCGGGUAGUCCUAGCCGUAAACGAUGGGCACUAGGUAGGGGGGCUCGCCGAUGGGCUCCCUGCCGUAGGGAAACCGUGAAGUGCCCCGCCUGGGGAGUAUGGUCGCAAGGCUGAAACUCAAAGGAAUUGACGGGGGGCUCACACAAGCGGUGGAGCAUGUGGCUUAAUUCGAGGCUACGCGAAAAACCCUUAUCCUGGGCUUGACAUGCAGGGAUUAGCCGGCGGAAACGUCGGUGACGCCGCAAGGUGGAACCUGUGCAGGUGCUGCAAGGCUGUCGUCAGCUCGUGCCGUGAGGUGUUGGGUUAAGUCCCGUAACGAGCGAAACCCCUGUGACUAGUUGCCAGCACGUAAUGGUGGGGACUCUAGUCAGACCGCCGGCGUCAAGCCGGAGGAAGGCGGGGACGACGGUCAAGUCAUCAUGGCCCUUAUGCCCAGGGCUGCACACGUGCUACAAGUGGGGCGGACAGAGCGUCGCCGAGGCCGCAAGGCCGCGCUAAUCGCAAAAACCGUUCCUCAGUUCGGAUUGCGGGCUGC